GUGAUUGCAAGGUGAGGUGCUUUUUGCACCAAUAAGAACAGUAAGGACAUGCUAAGUCUGAGCAUGAUUUAAUCGAAACAGUCAUCUUCAGGAAUUUGUUACGGUAACUUCUCUGCUAUCAUAGGAUAAGUGAGGCAUAUGAUCUUUUGAAAAGCAGAUGUUAAGUGGCAUAUGUGUCUUCAGUCACCUCUGUGUGGGUUGUUCUGUAGUAUAGAGGGUGUUCUAAAAAUGAUCUUUAGGAAUGGAGUGAGGCUUGUUUUUGUUUUUGUUUUGUUUUACACUUCCACACAAUCCCUUUUCAAUUCCUUGCAAACUGCUGAGUAUGUACUAUUUUGCCAGCAAAGGCUGAGCCUGUAUGAACCCAGCCAUGUGCUUUGUCUGUGCAUGUCCCCACACAGGAAGCACACCAGAGAAAGCGAUACUUCAGGGUAGAUUGAUUUCAUUAGAACUUCAUUAUCACCAGCCUCAAAUGGUUCUGGCCAGCAGUCUUUUUCUAUCUGUAUGAUUAACCCUUCUCUUCCUCACAGCACCUCCUCCCACCACCUUUUCUCAGUGUUAACAGGUGAUCUAGACUCCUACUCUCAGAGAAAAUUGAAGCCAACAAGUAGAAAGUCUUUUUUGCUACCAAAGACACAAACCUAUCUUCUUCUGCAUCCAUCCUCACCCCCGCUGCUGCUGUUCAACACAGGAGUCCUCUCUCCACCUACCCAAAGCCUGUCCCCUCCUGCUGUGCCCUGGAUCUUAUCUCUGUCAUUGCCUUAGAAACCUUUCUUGUAUAUAUUCAUCUUUUUCCUUCAAUAGAUCUUUCUUAUUGGAUUUUAAGCAUGUUGCAGCCUCUUCUGUUAAUAAAACAACAAUCAACAAAAACACUCUCCCUUAACUGCAUGCUUUAUUCCAGCUACUACCUUAUAUCAUUCCUUUCCUUCAAGGCCAAAGUCCUCAGAAGAGGUGGCAAUAUCCUCCAUCAUUUCUUCACUUCAUACUCAUUCUUCAACACAUACUAAUCUAGUCUCUUACCCCAUAAUUCAUUAAAACACUUAUUCUUGGGUCAUGGGUGACUUCUGUAUAGCUAAAUCCAGUGGAUAUUUUUCAGGCCUCCUCUUCCUUACAUUUUAGUAUUUCACCCUAUUGGCCAUUCUUUUCUUCUUGAAAUACUCUCUCCUUUAGCUUUUAUGACACUGUACUCCUGGUUUUUCUCCCACUUCUUGUCUGCUCCUGCUUAGUUCCCUCUGUAAACUUGGCCUCUUUCACAAGGCCAGUAAACACUCGAGUUUUUCAAGAUUGCCUGUUGGACUUUUUCUUUUCUCUCUGUGUUGUCUCUCAUCCAUGCUUACAGCCCUAAUUACUAUAACCAUUGUCAUAUAACUGGGUUCUGUAGAUUUGACUUUCUCAAUAUCUCCUGACUUGGCCACUUUUUAUCCACUGCUGCCACAUUCUUCUGCAAGCCACCAUAGCCACUUAACUGGAUUCUGUGGGAGUUCUUUGACCAUUUAAAUUUUUUUCUCUGUCCACCCCCAGAUCUGAUCAUUUAAUCUCUUCUAAUCCUCCUUAAUGCAUUUUGAUGGCUUUUCAUAGCUAUUGGGGAAAAAGUUUACAAUCCUUUAAGACGUUCAUGAGAGUCUGCAUUGUCUUGGCCCUUUGCCACACAUCCAGAGCCAUGUCUUACCAUGUUCCCCUGGCUGCUGGCUCCCCACUCAUGCACUGGUCUCCUUGUAGUCCUGUGCCCUUCAACCACAGACCUAUGCAUGCCUUUUUUCAUCACCUGAGUGCUCUUCCACCAGGUUUUCUCCUGGUUUACUCCUGAGCUCCCUUUGGAGCUCUGAGCUCUCCAUAUGCACAGUGGCUGUUCUCAGUGCCUUACUUCCUGGAACAUGGUAAAUGCAUAUUAAAUAUUGAGUGAAUGAAUAAAUGAAUGAACUUGCUAGUUUUUUGACUGGGAAGAAUUAUUUCUAUGUAGCAUACCAAAGCAUCAGGUUGUCUUCUCCGAUUACCCUUUUAUGGUGUUGUUUUUAUGCUGAUAGAUACGUUUUGGUAACCUGCGCACAUUGCCCUUUAUACUAAGUUUCACAACUACUUUCACGUAAAUCUCUUGAGAUCUUGGGUAAAUCAGUUGAGUUCUUUGAACCUUAUGCUAUAACCAGCCCAUAAUGUCCCCCCUCCCAUACUCAUACACAUUUCCAGAUGCUCUGUACGUGAUUUUUGUUCUAACUUCUGUAAUUCUUGAUACUCAUUUUCUGCAGAAAGAACUGAGACACAGGUUGCAGGAUGUGUGUCCAAAGUCAGAGAGCAAAUUAGGACUAAAUCACAGGACACCUGACUCACAGCUCUGUGCUUUGUGUGUGUGUUCCACCUCAAUUUAGGCUUUUCUCUCAAAUAUGUAAAAACUGUUUUUUAAAAAUUUAAAGAAUUCCUAGCUACUCGGGAGGCUGGGCUGAGGCAGGAGGAUCGCUUGAACCCAGGAGGCGGGGGUUGCAGUGAGCCGAGAUUGCGCCACUGCACUCCAGCCUGGCGACAGAGUGAGACUCCAUGUCAAAAAAAAAGAAUUACGGCCA
rnacentral:lncRNA from 1 species